rnacentral:rRNA from 1 species
GAUGAACGCUGGCGGCGUGCCUAAUACAUGCAAGUCGAGCGAACAGACGAUGCGCUUGCUCCUCUGACGUUAGCGGCAGACGGGUGAGUAACACGUGGAUCACCUACCUAUAUUACUGGGAUAACUUCGGGAAACCGGAGCUAAUACCGGAUAAUAUAUUGAACCGCAUGGUUCAAUGGUGAAAGACGGUUUUGCUGGCACUUAUAGAGGGAUCCGCGCCGCAUGAGAUAGUUGGUAAGGUAACGGCUUACCAAGGCGACGAUGCGUAGCCGACCUGAGAGGGUGAUCGGCCACACUGGAACGGAGACACGGUCCAGACGCCUACGGGAGGCAGCAGUAGGGAAUCUUCGGCAAUGGGCGAAAGCCUGACGGAGCAACGCCGCGUGAGUGAUGAAGGUCUUCGGAUCGUAAAGCUCUGUUAUUAGGGAAGAACAAAUGUGUAAGUAACUAUGCACGUCUUGACGGUACCUAAUCAGAAAGCCACGGCUAACUACGUG